UAAUACAUAAGUAACCUGCCCUAGACAGGGGGAUAACUAUUGGAAACGAUAGCUAAGACCGCAUAGGUACGGACACUGCAUGGUGACCGUAUUAAAAGUGCCUCAAAGCACUGGUAGAGGAUGGACUUAUGGCGCAUUAGCUGGUUGGCGGGGUAACGGCCCGCCAAGGCGACGAUGCGUAGCCGACCUGAGAGGGUGACCGGCCACACUGGGACUGAGACACGGCCCAG
rnacentral:rRNA from 1 species